rnacentral:siRNA from 1 species
GGUGCAGAAUAAUGUUUGAUUGGU